rnacentral:rRNA from 1 species
UACGUAGGGUGCAAGCGUUAAUCGGAAUUACUGGGCGCAAAGGGCGCGUAGGUGGCGCUGUAAGUCGGGUGUGAAAUUUCGGAGCUUAACUCCGAAACUGCAUUCGAUACUGCGGUGCUUGAGGACUGGAGAGGAGACUGGAAUUCAUGGUGUAGCAGUGAAAUGCGUAGAGAUCAUGAGGAAGACCAGUGGCGAAGGCGGGUCUCUGGACAGUUCCUGACACUGAGGCACGAAGGCCAGGGGAGCAAACGGG